UGUAGCUGAGUUAGCAAUAAAAAAGUGUGUAACGUUAAUGGACGUUGAGGUUUUUGGAUUCAACAGAGAACGAGGAAAGAAACGACUAAACCACGGAGUAAUUAAAUCACGGAGAGACACACAGAGAGAGAAGUUAACUGCGUCAGGUGUUUCCUUCAAUUUACGCCGAUUGCGUAGUGGUGACCGUCUUUGUCCGCUGUUUGGGACGUCGCCGCUGCUUGUGUCCGUCCUCAUCUCUUCUUCUGAACAUUGAAGGGAAGCGCUGUGACAUUUCACACAGCAUCAUCAGCUGCCAGACACCUCCUAUCAGGAUCGGUUUGGAAGCCUUUUAAUCCGCGCUCUAAAGAAGUCUUCCCUGUCAAUGGAGGGGAACGUGACCUCAAUACCAAAGGCGGCGGCGG